rnacentral:rRNA from 1 species
UGCUUUUGUACGAGAAGAAACAAUAUUACGUGUAAUGUCUUGACGGUAUCGUAAGAAUAAGGAUCGGCUAACUCCGUGCCAGCAGCCGCGGUAAUACGGAGGAUCCAAGCGUUAUCCGGAAUCAUUGGGUUUAAAGGGUCCGUAGGCGGUUUAGUAAGUCAGUGGUGAAAGCCCAUCGCUCAACGGUGGAACGGCCAUUGAUACUGCUGAACUUGAAUUAUUAGGAAGUAACUAGAAUAUGUAGUGUAGCGGUGAAAUGCUUAGAGAUUACAUGGAAUACCAAUUGCGAAGGCAGGUUACUACUAAUGGAUUGACGCUGAUGGACGAAAGCGUGGGUAGCGAACAGGAUUAGAUACCCUGGUAGUCCACGCCGUAAACGAUGGAUACUAGCUGUUGGGGGCAACUUCAGUGGCUAAGCGAAAGUGAUAAGUAUCCCACCUGGGGAGUACGUUCGCAAGAAUGAAACUCAAAGGAAUUGACGGGGGCCCGCACAAGCGGUGGAGCAUGUGGUUUAAUUCGAUGAUACGCGAGGAACCUUACCAAGGCUUAAAUGUAGAUUGACCGAUUUGGAAACAGAU